UUUACCGGUAUUUCCGAGUGCACGGCGGCACGGAUUCAUUCGUUCGUACACUCAAGACUGGUUGCUUCUUUGUUUCUAAAACUAGUUUCUUGCGCUUCGAUGUAACUUGGGGUGAAGUUACGUGUUUGCAAGCGGACAUGUAAGCCCGGCAGUUGGGUUUCGGUCGUGAGCCAUUCGGAACAGGUCUGCAUCGAAACGGGAGCUGGAUUUUGCUGCGGCUGACAACGGCAAUAACGACAUGCAGUAAUGAGGACGGCGCCAGUAUAAAGCAACACACUCCACGCACUAAACAGAAGCUGCUGCCUGCUACAACAAGGUCAUUGUGUGGACAUUGGCUACUACUACAAGAGUCUAUGCCAAGCACAUCUUGGUCGUCACAGGAGCUCCUAUCUGCACUAACAGGAAGGGGCUGGAGCCGAAUUUGCAAGGCUUUUACACCAAGAACAAAGAAGCACAUGCACAAGAAUAUGCAUGAGAUAUCAAGUCUGCAAAGGACUGUGUUAAGACUGCAAAGAGCUUCAGCCACCAUUCCACCAGCACGGUCAUUUGGCUGAGUCAUCCAGGUAACUCAAAAAGGACUUUCUAGAAAUUCUUCGUCUUCAGAUGCACCUGCAACAUCUGACCAAGCACGGACGACGCUGGCCAAAAGAUUGAGUUCCAUCAGUUUGCCCUUAAUCAGCUUCCUAGCCAUGUUAAUUCCGUUUGUGCCAAGUGUAAUUUUUCUUCUAUAAAUGCAAGCUUUCUCAUUGCCCAUUUUUGUUAGAGGUCAUUCAUCCUCAUCCAAAUAUAAAGGUCAACCGAUUCUUCGCUGAUACUUAAUACCAGUCACUGUCUAGCAGCCUAACAUAUCUGUAGCAGUAUCUUCUAGUGUAUGUUGUCAUGCGCAAUUACUCUCCUGAAAUAGCUGAUGCAGCAUCGGCAUGCGUCUUGCAUUAACCUAUGCACAUGUGCUAUGCACCAUUUUACUUUUCUUGAUGUUUUUAGCCUUCAAUGCUUGCAGAGCAGAGUGGCUUCUCUCUUGAAUGCAAGCUUUCUCAUUUUCCAUAUUCCUAGUCUCGUUGAUGAUUGCUCCUCUUCCUUGAUAGCCUGGGUCUUUGUGCAAGCUACAGUGAAGUGAUUGAUUGCAGAAUCUGGUUUUGCUGCCACACUUGGUUGUGGUAACUGUGUUACGUUUCUGAGAUGUGGGGGCCUGGUCAGUUGCAUUGGUAAGCAGUCCCUUGAGGUAAGCAUUUGCUCCUGCAGUCCGCAAAGCGACAUAGACUCCCAGUAUACACACACCGUAACUGGUGCGCUCCGUUCGUUCUGGCCUGCUGCAGCCAUGGGCAAAUUGUGCUUGUGGCCUACCUCGGCCAUAAUUUGCUCAAAACGGAGACCAGCAUAUGUGCUUACAUGGUUCGAAGUGUAUGAAGUUGAUAGCCGUAUGGGUGGAAAGGCCCGCAAGAAUGGCUGCCGAAGGUGAUGCCCACAAAAGCGACUUGUCCACAUUGCGACAAAGUGGGACACAAAGUGUGAGCCACAC